rnacentral:rRNA from 1 species
GACGAGGGGUCCUAGCGUUGUUCGGAAUCAUUGGGCGUAAAGCGUAUGUAGGUGGCUAUGUAAGUCAGGUGUGAAAGCCCCGGGCUCAACCCGGGAAGUGCAUCUGAUACUGCGUAGCUUGAGUACCGAAGAGGGUAGUGGAAUUCCAGGUGUAGUGGUGAAAUACGUAGAUAUCUGGAGGAACACCGGUGGCGAAGGCGGCUACCUGGUCGAGUACUGACACUGAGAUACGAAAGCGUGGGGAUCAAAC